rnacentral:rRNA from 1 species
UACGUAGGGGGGCAAGCGUUGUCCGGAAUCAUUGGGCGUAAAGCGCGUGUAGGCGGCCCGGUAAGUCCGCUGUGAAAGUCGGGGGCUCAACCCUCGAAUGCCGGUGGAUACUGUCGGGCUAGAGUGCGGAAGAGGCGAGUGGAAUUCCUGGUGUAGCGGUGAAAUGCGCAGAUAUCAGGAGGAACACCGAUUGCGAAGGCAGCUCGCUGGGACGUAACUGACGCUGAGACGCGAAAGCGUGGGGAGCAAACAGG